ACUUAUCAGCGAUGUGUACAGAAUUGUCUUCAUACUCAGAUUGGGCGCAAUGUUCAUGCUUAUGUGGACGACAUUGUGGUGAAAUCCAGGAAGAAGGAGACAUUGAUAAAUGACCUAAAGGAGACCUUUGACAAUCUUCGGGUUUACAAGAUGAUGCUCAAUCCGGACAAGUGUGUCUUCGGUGUUCCGGCAGGCAAGCUUUUAGGUUUUCUGGUGUCUAACAGGGGCAUUGAGGCUAAUCCGGAAAAGAUUAAGGCGAUUACGUCUUUGGCUAAACGGUGUGUAUCAAUGAUGUUUAGCGUUUAG
rnacentral:rRNA from 1 species